rnacentral:lncRNA from 1 species
CCAUCCAUCCAUCCAUCUCUCCCACAGCAGGCUCAGAUACGCGGGGCUGGUGGUCUUGUUCCCUCCCCGUGCUCUCCGGGAGUGUCACAGAGGGACAAACCCCCUCGCAGGUGCCCCUGAGAGCCUCACUCAGUGCCCGGGGCAGUCCCUGCGCUCGGGGCCGGGGCUGAGCUGCCUUUUGUGGCGCUCGGGCCCCGGUGAUUGGGCGCUAUUUUGCUCCGGCUCCCUCCGGCAGCUGUUGCUGUUCUUUACCCGGGACAGCCGGGGCCGCCCGGGGGCUGCAGCCGAGGAGGAGGCGGCGGCCGACCCCAGAUGCCAACGCUCCAGUGAGCAGAGACAGCCACGGGGAGAGCGUGGAGCCCAUGGAAUAGAGGAGGAGAGUCCCUGGCGCGGUGUCUCCGAGCAGGACCCGGGCCAGCCCGAGGCAGGGACAGGAGCCGGACAUGCCAGAGCCAGCCCCGCUCGGCGGGGACAGGAGAGCGGCGGAGAAGAAGCGGGUGGAGAAGGUGGGAGCCAAGGGCAGCGCUGCCGGGCCUCCAGUCCCCAGGAGCCUUCCCGUGCAGAGCAAGGUGGAGCCGCCCAGCCUGGACCCUGCUGAGGAGCCGCUGCUCUGGGAAGGGCUCACCCUCAACAAGUGCAUCCUGGUGGCCUCCGUCGUCGCCUUGCUCAGCGUCACCUUCCAGGUGCUCCAAGCGCCGUGCUCCAAGGAGGGGCUCGCCCGCGGCCGGCAGGAACCUCCGCCCCCUCCCGUUCCCGAGGUCGUGAGCCCCAAGGCGGAGGAGAUCCCGGAGGUGGUGACUGCCCAGCCUGCGCCGCCACCGGACAGCGGCGCGGUGGAGGAUGAUGAUGAUGAUGAUGACGGUGACGAUUACGAUGACAGCGAAGCUGACAGCAACCUGGCAGAACCCUGGAUCUUCAAGAAGUGGUUUGGCCGCACAACACCAGAGGAUGAGGAAAAGGAUGGGGACAAGGGUGAGGACAAGGAUGAGGAUGAAGACAAGGAUGAAGAACCUGCAGAUAUCCCUGAGGUACCAAUAGCUGUGAUGGAGGAGAAGAAGAGCCAGGAAAAGAAGGUGGAGAAGGAGGAGGAAGAAACGGAGGAGAAGGAGGAAGAAAAAGAGGGGAAUGAGGAGGAAGAAGAGGAGGAGGAGAAGGAGAAGGAGGAGGAAGAGGAGGAUGAGGAAAAGGAGAAGAAGAAGAAGCAGGAGAAGAAGGAGAAAGCCCGGGAAGGCCGUGCUGUCCAUACGGAGCGGAGCAGCCGGAGGGAGGCACGAGCCAAGGACAGGACACCGGGGGACAAACCCGGCAGAACCCCCAGGGCCCCCAGGGAACCGGAGCAGCUGCCCCAGAAAAAGCGGGACCGGGAGAGGAAGGAGAGGAAGGAGAGGCGGCGGGAGCGGGAUGAGGCCAGGAGGGAGGGGUGGAAGGGCCGUCCCGGCAGGGCUGAGGGCGGCCGGGAGAGCCCGAGGCGGGACUGGAAGCAGCAGAAGGGCAGGAAGCCCUGGGAGCUGGCGCCGGGCAGGGACGGCAGGGCCAGGGAGGGCAAGAGACGCGACUGA